rnacentral:rRNA from 1 species
CACGGAGUUAGCCAGGACUUUUUCUGUAGGUACCGUCAUUAUCUUCCCUACUAAAAGAGCUUUACAAUCCGAAGACCUUAAUCACUCACGCGGCAUAGCUGGGUCAGGCUUUCGCCCAUUGCCCAAUAUUCCCCACUGCUGCCUCCCAUAGGAGUCUGAACCGUAUCUCAAUUCCAGUGUGGCUGAUCAUCCUCUCAGACCAGCUAUAGAUCACCGCCUUGGUAAGCUAUUACCUUACCAACUAGCUAAUCCAAUAUAGGCUCAUCUAAUAGCGAUAAAUCUUUUCCUCGUAAGGAGCAUACGGUAUUAGCUGUCAUUUCUAACAAUUAUUCCGUACUAUUAGGUAGAUUCCUAUACAUUACUCACCCGUCUGCCACUAAAGCAUACUAUAGUAAACUAUAAUAUAACCCUGUUCGACUUGCAUGUGUUAAGCUUGCCGCAGCGUUUGUCUGAGCCAGGAUCAAACUCU